UCCUGAGGUUGGAUGAGACCUUUUGUAAUCUGCCUCCAUUAGCUUAUAGUUCAAAGACCAAGAGUCCACAAGGGACAAGUGAAGGCUAAAAGAUACAGAGAAAAUUAAGAGAAAGCUCAUCGUAAUAGUGCUGGCAUGUAAAAUGUUAACAACAGGAAUUCUGCAGAUGCUGGAAAUUCAAGCAACACACAUCAAAGUUGCUGGUGAAUGCAGCAGACCAAGCAGCAUCUAUAGGAAGAGGCGCAGUCGACGUUUCAGGCCGAGACCCUUCGUCAGGACUAACUGAAGGAAGAGUGCAGGGACAAUGGUGGAUGUUUUGAACAGAAGGGCACUCUACACUAGGAGAGGGAAAGAUUAAAAAUGUCUGUGAACACACCUGCCAAUUGUGGUGUGCACACACUGAAUGCUCGCCCUGGGAUGCCAUCCUGUCCUGCAGCCUUGCGACUGUCCACUCAUUGGAAACACCUGCGUAAUUCCUGUAAUACAAAAUGAUAUACUGAUAGUGCCUUUGGACCCGUGUAGUGGAAUCAGGCUUGGCAGGUGUCUCAUCAAGGGCAACUUUCUCUGUUUCAUGUCGUUCCUGUUAGUGACAUGAUCAUCACUGAGAGGAAGCUGCUCCCGGAGAUGUUACUAAAGUCACUGAACGCUGACCUGACCUCUUUGCAGGAAGAUACAGAAGCUUGAAAACACACUCCACCAGGCUCAAGAACAAUUUCUAUCCUGCUAGCAUAAGACUCCUGACGAGACCUCUUGUAUGUUAAAGAUGAACUCUUGACCUCAUGAUCUACCUUGUCAUGGCCCUUGCUGCUUAAUGUCUAAGUUCACAAUACUUACCCUGUAACUGUAACUCGGCAUUCUGCUAUUCCUUUGUAUUGCCUCAACUUACUUAUGGUUUGAAAUGGAUGGCUUGCAAAACUAAGUUUUUCAUUGUAUCUCAGUACAUAUGACAACAAUAAACCAAUUCCAACUCCAAGUCUUGUUAUUUCUGCAGUCUGGCUUUCACCCGGUUGUUUAUCCUUCUCUUGAAAGUUAGCUUCCAAGUACAGGUCCACAAUCCCUUAUCUGAAAUCCUUAGGGCCAGUUGCAUUUCGGAAUUCAGAAUUUUUCGGAUUUCAGAAAAUUGAUACUUACAUUGAUAAUUGACCUGUCUCAGUGCAGUGGACUUUAGGACCCGGGGGAGCUCCGGACCUAUGCACAUCCUCCCAUAUACUUUAUAAUCAUCUCUAGAUUACUUAUAAUAGUCAUUGUCAUACUUUAUUGAUCCAGGGGGAAAUUGGUUUUCAUUACAGUUGCACCAUAAAUAAUAAAUAGUAAUAAAACCAUAAAUAGUUAAAUAGUAAUAUGUAAAUUAUUCCAGGAAAUAAGUCCAGGACCAGCCUAUUGGCUCAAGGUGUCUGACCCUCCAAGGGAGGAGUUGUAAAGUUUGAUGGCCACAGGCAGGAAUGACUUCCUAUGAUGCUCUGUGUUGCAUCUCGGUGGAAUGAGUCUCUGGCUAAAUGUACUCCUGUGCCCACCCAGUACUUUAUGUAGUGGAUGGGAGACAUUGUCCAAGAUGGCAUGCAACUUAGACAGACACCUUUUCAGACACCACCAUCAGAGAGUCCAGUUCCAUCCCCACAACAUCACUGGCCUUACGAAUGAGUUUGUUGAUUCUGUUGGUGUCUGCUACCGUCAGCCUGCUGCCCCAGCACACAACAGCAAACAUGAUAGCACUGGCCACCACAGACUCGUAGAACAUCCUUAGCAUUGCUGGCAGAUGUUAAAGGAUCUCAGUCUCCUCAGGAAAUAGAGACGGCUCUGACCCUUCUUGUAGACAGCCUCAGUGUUCUUUGACCAGUCCAGUUUAUUGUCAAUUCGUCUCCCCAGGUAUUUGUAAUCCUCCUCCAUGUCCACACUGACCCCCUGGAUGGAAACAGGGGUCACCAGUACCUUAGCCCUCCUCAGGUCUACCACCAGCUCCUUAGCACCAAUACCUAAUACAAUGUAAAUGCUAUGUAAAUAGUCGUUAUACUGUAUUGUUUAGGGAAUAAUGAUAAGGAAAAAAGUCUGUACAUGCUCAAACACCGAGUGCUGGAGAGAAAAUUUCCGGGUUUUCCCAAUCCGUGGUCUUUUACAAAUACUAUUACAGUUUAUUUAUAGAGUAAUAUACUAAUAAGUGAAAUAGUUGGAUAAUUAUAGACCAUAAAUACAUUUUUCCAACAAAAACAUUCAAUAAAACAUAAAAAUAUACAGCUUCAAGCGAGCUGAAUCAAACACAUGGUAAAUGACUUAUUGGAAUAAAAGUAGAAUGUAGAUACUCUAGGACAUAUACAGGUUCAAGCUAAGCUAAGUACAUACAGGUACCUCUAGUUAAGUUGCAUUAUGUCUAGCAAACAAAGCUAAAUACUCUACAGGUACCUGAUGGGCCAGGAACAGAAAUCUCAAGUUAUGAAGCAGCACUACGACAGACGGCGUUUUUAAAGACUUCUUCAAGUGUCAUCUGUCUCAAAAACAUAGGUUUAUGUCUAAGCAAUCUCACUUUAACUGAGUCAACUGCCAUAAUCUCUUGCUCACUGAUAAAUGCAUGUUCAAGACCAGGAAUUAAUUGAUCACACAUUUUCUCCAUAUUGUCAUCAGCCGUUCUUAAUGUUUUUCUAUGAACGUAGCGCCAGUACAAAGCUGUUUUAUUAGCAUGGUAAAUUUGUUCAGGGCUGAGGCUUUUUAUCAGAUAUUAUCUUGGCAAAUUCGUCAAUGUAAUUUUCAGCUGCUUCAUGAUCAGCAGAAGCUUUUUCACCACAGAUUUUCAGAUAUUUUACACCAUGACGCUUCUUAAGUUUCUGCAGCCAACCCUCUGAAUAUUUUCUGCGUUAUUGAUAAUGAUAAAUGUUUCCUUCUCUUUUACUCGUUGUUACCCAUAGGGGUAUCUGCAGCUCUUUUUGACAUUUUCACAGUGAAAUUAAACACAAAGUCAACAGUGAACACAAAAUAUCAGCGAACAGCAAAUGCACGUGUAACCGGUAUGAGCGCUGAGCCACAACUGAUGCCUGGCGGCCUCUGCUAGUGCUGCCACAUCACACCUGAGUGAUGCCAGCUGUUGGCAUGCCAAACAAACCUUGUUACGACAAGCUCCACACUCCACGAGAAAAACUACAGUUUUCGGAUUUCAGAAUUUCAGACAAGGGAUUGUGGACCUGUAUUUAGUAAGAUUGUAUUAAAUAAGAUUUUCAUCCAUGUCAGAAAGGUGCAUCGGCUAUGAUUUAUAAUAUUAUUAUGAAACUUAGGAAAGCUCCAUUUGAUAAGAUUAGGGUAGAUUGGGAACAGGAAUUGGGGCUUACCAUUUCUGUGGAUGAUUGGGGGCAGAUUUUACAAUUAGUUAAUACUUCCUCUAUUUGUGCUAAACAUUCCCUAAUUCAAUUUAAAGUGGUUCAUAGAGCACAUAUGUCCAAAGAUAAGUUAGCGCGUUUUUACUCGCAUAUUAAUCCUUUCUGUGAUAGAUGUUCGGGGCAGAUAGCCUCUUUAACUCAUAUGUUUUGGUCUUGCCCUACUUUGGAAACUUUUUGGAGAGAUAUUUUCAAUAUUAUUUCUAAGGUAUUAAAUAUAGAUAUCUCUCCUCACCCUAUUACUGCUAUCUUUGGACUACCUAAAAUUUCUAGUAAUCUUUCCCCUUCAGCCCGUAGAAUGAUUGCAUUUCUUACUUUAAUGGCGAAAAGAUGUACUUUACAACAUUGGAAAGAGCUUAAUGCUCCAACUACCUUUUUUUGGUUUUCUCAGACGAUUUUAUGUUUGAAUCUGGAGAAAAUUAGAAGUAACCUUUAUGAUUCUUCAUUUAAAUUUGAACAGAUUUGGGGACCUUUUAUUCGAUAUUUUCAUUUAAUGUAAUAUUUACCCUUCUUGUUUUUUCUUCACUGUUUUAAUGGAGGUCGGGAUUGAGGACGUGAUUUUAAGUUUAACUCUGUUUGGUUUCAAGUUAGCCCAUUGCUUUGCUUUGCUUUUAGUUAGUUGCACGGUGGGUUUUUUUUUUGGGGUUUUUUUUUCUUUUUUUUUCCAUUGAUAUAUAUAAAAUCUAGUAUACUAUUAUGUUAUCUUGGUUUCUUAUGCUUAAAUUACAUUGUUUGUAGUAUUUUCUUUUUGGUAUUGUUAUCUUUUGGAAUUUUAUU